GAGGGUAUAGCUCAGUGGCAGAGUACCUGCUUAGCAUGCAUGAGGUCCUGGGUUCAAUCCCCAGUACCUCCA
rnacentral:tRNA from 1 species